CCUCCCCAGACUGAUCUCAGCCUCUCCAGAUUUAACGUAGGGUUGCAAGGGCCUGGUGCCUGCUGCCCCUUUGAGGCUGAAGAAGCCUACUGGACAUCAUUCAGAGUGGCCCAGGGCAUCUGCUCUUCUUCAGGUGCCUCAGUACAUGAAAGCAAAGCACUGGAAUUAAGGCAAACACACUGAUCUAUCAUUGUUCCAGCUAGGAGGAGAAAAUCUUCCCAAUGAAAGUCUGUCCUUAAUUAGGAAGCAUUUGUCCAGAACGUGCUUGUGCACCACAGAACAACAGAUGUGUAUCAUUGAUGCAUGUGAAGUUAUGAGAUUGUGCUGUAUGGUGGUCAUAAAACAGGCUGUACAUUGGGGAAUCAGCCAGAUAUUAGCUCCCCAGAGACAACAGCAAGGGAAGUAACCAGCGCCUGGGUGCAGUGUCAAACAACCAUCAACAGCCAUUGUCCAGCAAGGGAGCUCCAAUGCUUGACUCACCUGCAUGAGGCCACCCCAGGGGAACUGCUCAACCUCACCUGGGAACUCAGCAAUGCCCCAGACAGGCCUGGACUUGUGCUCCCCAAGCACAUGGACUGAGGGUCUAAAACAGACACUGUGGACACAUACUGAGCCCUUCUCCUGCCCCCACCUUCGCUGCAAGCAACUAAGACACUGAGAAGAAGACACGACUCCAGCAGAGGAGA